rnacentral:rRNA from 1 species
GCUACCACAUCCAAGGAAGGCAGCAGGCGCGCAAAUUACCCAAUCCCGACACGGGGAGGUAGUGACAAUAAAUACUGAUACAGGGCUCUUUUGGGUCUUGUAAUUGGAAUGAGUACAAUUUAAACCUCUUAACGAGGAACAAUUGGAGGGCAAGUCUGGUGCCAGCAGCCGCGGUAAUUCCAGCUCCAAUAGCGUAUAUUAAAGUUGUUGCAGUUAAAAAGCUCGUAGUUGAACCUUGGGUCUGGCUGGCAGGUCCGCCUCACCGCGUGUACUUGUCCGGCCGGGCCUUCCUUCUGGAGAACCUCAUGCCCUUCACUGGGCGUGUUGGGGACCAGGACUUUUACUUUGAAAAAAUUAGAGUGUUCAAAGCAGGCCUUUGCUCGAAUACGUUAGCAUGGAAUAAUAGAAUAGGACGUGCGGUCCUAUUUUGUUGGUUUCUAGGACCGCCGUAAUGAUUAAUAGGGACAGUCGGGGGCAUCAGUAUUCAAUUGUCAGAGGUGAAAUUCUUGGAUUUAUUGAAGACUAACUACUGCGAAAGCAUUUGCCAAGGAUGUUUUCAUUAAUCAGUGAACGAAAGUUAGGGGAUCGAAGACGAUCAGAUACCGUCGUAGUCUUAACCGUAAACUAUGCCGACUAGGGAUCGGGCGAUGUUCUUUUUCUGACUCGCUCGGCACCUUACGAGAAAUCAAAGUUUUUGGGUUCUGGGGGGAGUAUGGUCGCAAGGCUGAAA